GGGACACGGUCCGGCGCUGCCGAGGGGCUGUGCGCGGGAUGCUCGCCGUAAAUGACACCGUGCUGCGGUCAGUGUCCUGCCCCGCAGCCGGGAAUACCGGAGUCAGUGUCCUGUCCCGGUGCGGGGAUGCCAGGGACGCUGUCCUCCCCGUGUCCUCCCCGUGUCCUCUCCCAGUGUCCUCCCCAGCCGCACUGUCCGAACGAGCUUUGGGACCUGCCCCCGCAUCCUUCCUCGGAGCCGGGAAGGGUUUUCCAGCGUUGCGGCGGAGGAAGGUGGCCUGUCCCCACUCGGGGUUGUGCAAACACCCAGACGUUACUAGUUGUCUCUAUUAAUAGACACGAGGAACUCCGAAAUCCCCAUGACAAAGACUGUGACUGUAGAUUCCCCUUCCCAGGCCAGAAGUGGGUAGUUCGGUGUAACCCAGCCCUGAUGUCACCUUCCCGCAGCCGGGAGUUUCCGAGCAGGCAGCGAGGACUAUAAGAGUGGGACUCGGGCACGGGCAGGGUGAAGCCAUGGAGCGAGCCGGGAGCACUGCACACACCGAGACGUCUCUGCCAGCCAAGAGGGCCAGCUUCUCCUCCUCCUGUGUCUGUCCUCACCAGCCAGGGCUGAUGUCACCUUCAUUCCUUACCCACUGCCCCACACCUACGAAUGCAGACGUGGACCAGGGACUUUUCCCCACCGUCUGCUUCCAUGGGUAGAGCCCACAGCCCAGCUGCGAGGUGAAGGACUGAAACCUCACUGAUGCUCCUCCUCCCCCCCUGCCUCCCACUGCCCUCCACCACUGGAGGAAGCCACAGCAGGGAGGGGGCCCAGCCCUAGCUCUGCGUGGAAAGGAACCAGGAGGGAGACAGCAGGAGGUCAGCAAGAGUUGGCAGCAACAUUAUCUGCUUUCCAGCUGGGGUGGGACACUUCUGCUGGCCAAGAGGAGGUCUGCUGUCCCUCCUCUCACAGGAGUGUUUCAUGGUUGGGAGGUACCAAAUAACUCCCGUAAAAUGCUGUCCCAGGUACGCUCUGCUUCAUGCUGCCAAUGGGACAGGAAUUUUGGUAUUUCUGCAACAACCUUACUGUCUAUCUUGUUUAAAACAACAAAAUAAAUAAAGCUAUGUCUA